rnacentral:rRNA from 1 species
CGUUUGACCUCGGAUCAGGUAGGGAUACCCGCUGAACUUAAGCAUAUCAAUAAGCGGAGGAAAAGAAACCAACAGGGAUUGCCCUAGUAACGGCGAGUGAAGCGGCAACAGCUCAAAUUUGAAAUCUGGCUCUUUCAGAGUCCGAGUUGUAAUUUGCAGAGGGCGCUUUGGCUUUGGCAGCGGUCCAAGUUCCUUGGAACAGGACGUCACAGAGGGUGAGAAUCCCGUACGUGGUCGCUAGCUAUUGCCGUGUAAAGCCCCUUCGACGAGUCGAGUUGUUUGGGAAUGCAGCUCUAAAUGGGAGGUAAAUUUCUUCUAAAGCUAAAUAUUGGCCAGAGACCGAUAGCGCACAAGUAGAGUGAUCGAAAGAUGAAAAGCACUUUGGAAAGAGAGUCAAACAGCACGUGAAAUUGUUGAAAGGGAAGCGCUUGCAGCCAGACUUGCUUGCAGUUGCUCAUCCGGGCUUUUGCCCGGUGCACUCUUCUGCAGGCAGGCCAGCAUCAGUUUGGGCGGUGGGAUAAAGGUCUCUGUCACGUACCUUCCUUCGGGUUGGCCUUAUAGGGGAGACGCCAUACCACCAGCCUGGACUGAGGUCCGCGCAUCUGCUAGGAUGCUGGCGUAAUGGCUGUAAGCGGCCCGUCUUGAAACACGGACCAAGGAGUCUAACAUCUAUGCGAGUGUUUGGGUGUCAAGCCCGAGCGCGUAAUGAAAGUGAACGGAGGUGGGAACCCGCAAGGGUGCACCAUCGACCGAUCCUGAAGUUUACGGAAGGAUUUGAGUAAGAGCAUGGCUGUUGGGACCCGAAAGAUGGUGAACUAUGCUUGAAUAGGGUGAAGCCAGAGGAAACUCUGGUGGAGGCUCGCAGCGGUUCUGACGUGCAAAUCGAUCGUCAAAAUUUGGGGCAUAGGGGCGAAAGACUAAUCGAACUAUCUAGUAA